UUUAAGAGUCUCUUAUGGAGUGUCAUACGCUUUAAAUCUUGAUCAGCUACAACAGUUCUUAACGUGUGAGUUCAAGCUGACUCCACUCUAUACUGCUGCUCAUUCAAUCUUUUUCAGUACUAUUUCAAAUACAGUUUUCAGGGGAGGAGUUUGUUUGAGACAUGUUUUGUGUGACAAGGGAAGAACAGAAAGUUUAGUUGAACAUCAGUUUAUGCUGAGCAAAAACACCACCAUCAUCAACAUGUUGCUCUGUUUAACUGCUUUGAUUUGUUCACUUAUAUGUGGCAGUUUUGCGAAUGUCAUCACUCCAGUCCAGACUGAGGUUUAUAAGAAAGAGGGAGAAAAUGUUACUCUGACCUGUAACUACUCCUCAGCAUCCACACUGCAGUGGUAUCUCCAGUAUCCCGGAUCAGCUCCUGAAUUUCUUUUGAUAAUAUUACCUUCUACAGGAAAAGUUUCACAAAAGUCAGAAAUUGUGGAGCGAGAUCCUCGAUUCUCUGGGAAAGUGAAUGAAGAGAAAACCCAUGUGGCUCUGGAGAUCUCCUCUGCUAAAGUGACAGACUCUGGAACUUACUACUGUGCCAUGGUGCCCACAGUGACAGGAAACACAAGAACUCUGUACAAAAACCCUCAUACUGUAGUUGAAUGUUGUUUGUAGUUGUAUGUAGUUUAAUGAAUCUUCAUAAAAUAUUUGAAAAAAAAAUCUUCUACAUGUUUGAAAUACAUAUUUUUCAAUCAGUCAGUAUUGACAAAAUAGAAUCAUAAGAACACUAUUCAAAUGCAUAACUCAUCAAGUUCUUAAGAUUUUAGAAAUAGUUACAUAAAGUACCCUGACAAGAUGUAUGGCUUUCAUGUACAGAAGUAAAGUUCUAUAAAAUUAUGUUCAGCUGAAGUACAAUACUUUCAUGAUAUUACAUCGCCACCUGCUGGAAGUCUUAGGAACAGAAAACGUUGAUCUUUUUGUUAUUUUUAAGACCUACAAGUUUCAGUGCAGACGUUGUGUGACAAGCAGUCAAGAGAAUUUGUACUUCCUGUUUUCGCAUCCACCCCGUGAUAUUUAAAGAUCAACCUCUCAAGAAACUCCUCACAUAAAGACUUUUCUGAUGCAAUCAUGGAAAGAGUCCAAAUUCUAAGUCAACAGUUGGAAAAAUAUCUACUGCUGUUCUUUCUUACAGCAUCAGGUACAAUCCACAAUUAUGAUACAUUUGUAUGAUUAUUCAGAUCUUUAAAUAUAUACACAUCUUAAUAGUGAAAUUGUAUUUUAUUAAAAACAUUUUCUUUCAGGUGUAAUCUGUCAAGACUGGAUUCGACCAAGUGACGAGAGGACCAGUGUUACCAGUACAGAAGGAGAUUCUGUAACACUGGAGUGUUCAUAUGACACAAGCAGCAGCUAUGUUAUCCUUUAUUGGUACAGAGAGUUUUCUAACACACAGCCUCAAUAUAUACUGCUUAAAGGUGGACGAUCAGAGACAUAUCAGAACAUACCAGACCCCCAACGAUUUACAUCAACUACAUCCCAGAAAUCCACCUCACUGACCAUUAAGAGUGUAACUCUGUCAGAUUCGGCUUUCUAUUACUGUGCUCUAAGAGUAACAGCCCAGUGAUACAAAGUGCCUGACAGGCUUUACAAAAACUUACUAAGAAAACUCGCUUUGAACAGUGAGUUAUCAAAUGAAUAACAAACCACAUUUGUGUCUUUAUAAACCACAUAGUCAAAUUGCAAGAUUUGGUAACACCUGCAGCAAAUAAUUAUACAGCUUCAUGUAGCUGCAGUAAGUGAGAGCUGAUGUAAAUCGGAUAAUUUUAGUGAUUAAAUAAUUAAUAAGCUUUAUAUAUUAUCAACACAGCUCUUUAGCAUGGAUUAUUAACAGGACAUUAAUUUACAUUUUAGACACAACUCAAAUAGUUCCAAUCGAAGCCACAAAAGAAUCACUGCAUCUCCCAGAAACACACAAUUAGGGGUGUUUGUGUUUUUGAACGAAUGAUUGUCAAAAAAAACACUCAUUAAAAAACAUUUGCUUGUUUCAUUCAUGAAUAAAUCCGAGCUAUUGAAUGAAUGAAUCUAAAGAUUUAAUAAAGACACGUUUCAUACCUCAUAAUCCUAAUCAGUUGAGUGAAUCAUUUAAUGACUCACUCAAAGAAAGUCCAGUCACUUGUCGCCACUUAUUGGUUCUUUGUUUAGAUAAUAGCACUGCAUCAAUAAUGCAUUGUGAUGUGGUACUUCAUGAUAGAUGAGACAAUCAGACACUAACAGUAAUGCUCUUCAAAUUUAUAUGGAGCUAAUAGAACAAUCAAAGGAUUCACUGUGCAAAAAGUUCUGGGUAUAAUUACAAAUUGAAGAUGACCACAUCACUUCUCAUCUGUCUCACAUUUCUGGCAUUUCACACUUCUCUCUUUCUGUGCACAUACUGCACCGAAGACAAAAACUGUCAUCAGUAAAGAGGGGGAAUCUGCGACUCUCACAUGCUUGUAUAAAUCAAGCAGCUCUCGUGUUUUGCUCUUCUGGGGUAGGCUGAUGCCAAGACAGACACCAGAGUUUUUAUUGCUCAAGGGUGCACGAUCAGAGACAUGCUUUCAAAGCAUAAGUCCUCGAUAUGAUUCCGCAACUUCAAAAACAUCCACUUUUCUGAUCAUUAACAAUCUAAAACUGGAGGACAAAGCUUCCUACUAAUGUGCGCUAGAAGAACACUAUGACAAAAUGUAUUUAUUAGGCUGUACAAAAACUCGUGUUCAAAACUGUGGUCUUUCAAACCGCAAAAUAUUUCCUUCCCUACAGUAAAUAAUAUUCUGAGCAGCAGAAGAUGUGGUUAAACCUUGCAAAUGAGGAAUACAAAGCAAUAUGCGAUUGGCUGUCUACAUUACUUCAAAAAAAUUCCAUACUGAGGAAAGAGGUGGAGCUUCCAGAGGAGAUUCAGUUUGUUACUUGUCAUGUUAUGUUGCUCUGCUAGUCUCAGUAUGUUGCUCUGCAUAGUUAUUUGGAUGUUAACUCUGCCAGGUUGGUAUUUUUUUUCCAUAUUACUGAAAAUCUGUUAUUUUAUUUUCAUCUCAUUAUAUACUUUAUCUCUUGUUUUUCAUUUUUAAGAUGUAACUCGUGCAGAAACCAUUACCCCUGAACACACAGAAGUGCUUGUAAAUGAGACUGAGAAUAUAACACUCUCCUGUAGUUAUUCCUCGGCAUACAGUCUCCUUUGGUAUCGACAGGAUCAUACAUCAGCUCCACAGUUCCUCAUGCUCAUCCUACAAAACUCUGGAAAAGUAAUACAGUCUUCAGAUGAGCGCCUGUCAGGAAAACUGAACGUGGACAAAAAUCGUGUGGAUUUGGAAAUCCCCUUUUCCACAGUUAAAGAAUCUGCAGUGUAUUUCUGUGCUCUGCAGACCACGGUGACAGGAAAUCAAACGUUACUGUACAAAAACCUAACAGCUUGAGAUCACAUGGGUUUAUCAUGCUCAAUAUUCACUCAGUUAGGGGGAGGAGCUUCAAGCAGCUGUAAAGAUCUCAAGUGCCAUCAUAGAUGCAAGUGCCAUUUCAGCAUGAUUCUGCUCGCCACAAUUAUCCUGCUCUGUGCUGUUGGGAGUGAGUAUAACUUAAUAUUACAUAAAAGUCAAGUAUAUUUUUAAUUUUAUAAUUGGGUUUGUCUUAAUAGUAUAACAUAUAUUUAAUAUUUGAAUAUAAUUACACUGUAAACUUUACACAAAACAAAAGUUGUUAUUGUUCAGAGUCUAUAUCUAAUUAUGUUUAUCAUAAUUUUCAGGUGGAAGGUUUGAGAGUCCUAUUACGUCAGACCAAACUGAGGUCUUUGAUGAGGAGGGUGCCAAUAUAACUUUAUCAUGUAGCUACUCAGCUGCAAUUAGUUUGCACUGGUAUCGCAAAUAUCCCAAAUCAGCUCCUGAAUAUCUUUUAUUAAUUCUGCAAUCCUCCGGACGGGUCCAGAGCGCAGAGAAACUGGAUUCUCGGUUUUCAGUGAGACUGAAUGAAGAGAAAAACCGUGUGGAGCUAAUCAUCUCCUCUGUCAAUGUGACAGAUUCUGCUCUGUACUACUGUGCUGUGGAGCCCACAGUGACAGGAAACCUUUACACACUGUACAAAAACGUGCAUAUACACAGUAGAAAAUACAUAGACCAAUAACAAACAAUUUCUUUCCACUGCCCUUUUAUUUUAUUUUUUUAGGUUUUCGGUUAUUUGAGGACAUUGCAAAAAAUAAUUUAUGAUGAUAUAGUCCUCCUUCAACAGCCCUAAUAAUGUACAUUAGAAAAAUGUCUUUAUGAAAAAAAAGUACAAUAUCAUGGUCUAUCUUUUGACUUUACUAGGAUUAAUCUGCCAUCUAGUGGUCCUUUAGGCUCAGUACACUGGCUGAAUUGUGAAAUACAUGUCUUUUGUGGCUUUAUGAUAUCAUAUCAAGCAGUGAAAAUUAUCUACUCAAGUUAUCUACUCAAAAGUAGUGAUUUUGUUUUAAUAGACAGGAAACAUAAGCAUAUGAGUUUAUUUCCAUUUACCACUUUGGUUAAAGGCCACCAAAUAUUAUUUAUACAAUAAUAGUAAUAAUAUAGUUGUGAUAUGCACAAAAAAGCAGAAGGAUUAUUUUGAUGUAUAUUUCAGACAUGAGCAAAUGAAUACAUUCCUAUCAAAUUCCUGUUAAAGGUAAACCAUUCAUUGAAGACCAACACUAUAUGACCAAGUUGAUCAAAGAACUGAAUAACUAAAUAAAAUGCCAGUAGAUUAUGUCACAAGGUAUAACCUGUACACAGCCCUCUGAGGAUCGUUUCAGUUCAGUGAGAAUCUGAGCAGUAGUGAAGACAAUAACAUGAGCAGAGACUCAAUACAGACAGACAGUUGAAAAAAAUUCAGAAAGUUUGACAGCGAUACAGCAUUUCAACACACGUUUCUCCUGCAUUUGAGUCUGUGGAGCUCAACUCCGCAGUUCAGUGUCAGCAGAUGCUCAGCUGAUGUUGAGUGACUCUCCACAGACAGCUGGAGGAAAAAUGCACUUCAGAACAAGAGGCUUCUCCUUCAGCAGCCACCAUGGAGAACAGCCCAACAGGUUAGGAAUAACAUUAGAAUCUAAUGGAAAUAGUAAUAAAAUAUUAAUGAUAUCUAAACAUUACUUUAGAAAACAUUACUUGCCAAAAGUACAAGAUCACCACAACAAAUAUUAAG
rnacentral:lncRNA from 1 species